UACGUAGGGUGCGAGCGUUGUCCGGAAUUAUUGGGCGUAAAGAGCUCGUAGGCGGUUUGUCGCGUCGGGAGUGAAAACUCAGGGCUUAACCCUGAGCCUGCUUCCGAUACGGGCAGACUAGAGGUAUGCAGGGGAGAAUGGAAUUCCUGGUGUAGCGGUGAAAUGCGCAGAUAUCAGGAGGAACACCGGUGGCGAAGGCGGUUCUCUGGGCAUUACCUGACGCUGAGGAGCGAAAGUGUGGGGAGCGAACAGG
rnacentral:rRNA from 1 species